GGAAAACCAGGGAGCCGAAACCUUUAGCAAGAAGAUUACACCGCAGCUAAUCUUCUGAAUAUGUUCAGAAGAUUACAAGAAAGGAGAACGUCCGAACACCGGCUGCUGCUGUUGCUGCUGCUAUUUUGGAAUAUGAUCAGAUUGCAAUUCCAUCAACAGUUGUACUUGUGAAGCUUGCUAGUACUGUGUAUCCACAAUCCAGCUUUUGUUUGUGCUUGGAAUUGAUGUGGUGGUCGGAUUGCAGAUGGACAAUUAAUCAGUAUUAGUAAAGACUAAUUUUGUUUACCAGACGCUCACCACAUUUUGAAAGGGGUUAGAAUCUCAAGCAUUCUUGCUCUAAAGCUUUAUACUGGCAUAUAUGUCGAUGUAUUUGACUUCCAGACACUGGUAUAUAUUUUUUUUCCAUGAAAAACAAAUGCAGCUAGAGAGAAGAGAACAUGAUGAUCCCUGCCCUUACCUUCUUGUUGUAUGGUCAUCUGGUAAACUAUCCAAUCCUGUUGGAUCAACUGAAGGUCAAACCACUUGCUCUGAUGAGAAUGGACAAUUUUUGGGCGGCAAUGGUGAAGACAUUGCCCAGACUGUUCUAGGAACAAUUUUGAUACCAUGUCGCACGGCAAUGCGAGGAACUUUUCCUCUCAACGGAACAUACUUUCAAGCUAAU